AGUGAACGCUGGCGGUGGGCCUAACACAUGCAAGUCGAACGGCAGCACACUAAGAGCUUGCUCUUACGGGUGGCGGGUGGCGGGCGUGUCAGGAAUACAACGUACUCUACUUUUUCGUGGAGGAUCACGAAGGUAAACUUACGCUAAUACCGCAUACGACCUUCCGUUGAAAGCAGGGGAUCUUCGCACCUGGCGCGAUUGAAUGAGCCGAUGUGGGAUUAGCUAGUUGGCGGGUUAAAGGCCCACCAAGUCGAGGAUCCGUAGCUGGUCUGAGAGGAUGGUCGCCCACAUUGGAGCUGAGCCACCGUCCAGAGGCCUGCGGGAGGCAGCAGUCUCGAAUAUUGGGCAACGGUGGCGAGCCUGAUCCAGUGAGCCCGCGUGUGUGAAGAAGGCGUUCGGUUCGGAAAGACCUUUUGUUGGGAAAGAACAGCUGCAGGUUAAGACGCAGCGGUUCUGACGGUACUCAAUGAAGAAGCACCGGCUAACUACGUG
rnacentral:rRNA from 1 species